rnacentral:rRNA from 1 species
UUAACCCUACGGGGCGUAGCAGUGAGGAAUAUUGGUCAAUGGCCGGAAGGCUGAACCAGCCAAGCCGCGUGAAGGACGAAGGUGCCAAGCAUUGUAAACUUCUUUUGUCAAGGGACAAAAUCAGGCUCGAGAGCCUGACCGAGGGUACUUGAAGAAAAAGCAUCGGCUAACUCCGUGCCAGCAGCCGCGGUAAUACGGAGGAUGCGAGCGUUGUCCGGAUUUAUUGGGCGUAAAGCGAGUGCAGGCGGAU